rnacentral:rRNA from 1 species
AUGACGCUGGCGGUACUUUUAACAUGCACUCAGAGCGGUACAGACAUAAAGAUUCAGCUUGCUGAAUCCGGUGCUGACGAGCGGCGAACGGGUGAGUAACGCGUAGGAAUCUACCCAGUAGCGGGGGAUAGCCCGAGGAAACUCGGAUUAAUACCGCAUACGCCCUGAGGGGGAAAGGGGGCAGUUUACUGCUCUCACUAUUGGAUGAGCCUGCGUAAAGAUUACGCUUGUUGGUGAGGUAAUAGCUCACCAAGGCAGACGAUCUUUAGCUGGUCUGACGAGGACGAUCAGCCACAUUCGGGACUGAGACACGGCCCAAGACAUCUACGGAUGGCAGCAGUUAAGAAUAUUGGACAAUGGGGGCAACCCUGAUCCAGGUAUACCGCGUGUGUGAAGAAGGCCCUAGGGUUGUAAAGCACUUUAAUCAGAGAAGAAGCAUUUUAAGUUAAUACCUUAAUAUGUUGACGUUACCUGAAGCAAUAAGGACCCGGACUAAACUCCGUGCCCAGACAGUCCGCGGGUCAAUACAGGAAGGGUCCAAGCGUUACAUCCGGAACAUUACUGGGGCGGUUCAAAGCGCGCGUAAGAGCGGGUA